GCUCCUACCUCCCGGCAGCCUCUCCAGGCCCAGAACUUUCUCCAGUCAGCCUCUACAGACCAAGAUCAUGACUCACAAUGGCCUAUUUAGGCCCAUACCCUACGUCACGGCAGCCUCCACAGAUGAGGCUACUGCCUCACAACAGCCUCCACAGGCACAGCUCCAUCGUUACAAUGGCCUCUUUAGACCCAGCUCCUGCCUCCCAGCCUUCUCUCCAGGCCCUGAACUUUCUCAAGUCGACCUCACCAGGCCCAGCUCCUGCAUCUUGGUGGCCCCUCCAGGCCCAGCCUCUGCCUCCCGUCAGCCUCUACAGUCCCAACGUCUGCCUCACAGCAGAUUCUUCACGCCCAGCAUCUACCUCACUGUGGACCCCCCAAGCCAAGCUCCCAACCUUUCAGCAGCUUCUACACACCCAGCUCCUGCCACCCAGUGGCCUCUUUAGGCCAAGCUCAUGCUUCACAAGGGCCUUUCCAGGCCCAACUUUUGUCUCAUGGCAACCUUCCCUGGCCAGAUUCCUGCCUGUCUCCCAGCAGCCUAGACAGGCCCAGGUCUUGCCUCACACUGGCCUCUCUACAUCCAGCUUAUGCCUCACGGUGGCCUCUCCACGCCCAACUCCUGUCCCAGGACGUCAUCUCCGGGCCCAAAACUUACUCAAGUCAAACUCUCCAGGCCCACCUUCUGCUUCCCGGUGGCAUCAACAGGCCCAGCUUUGACUUGAGAACAGCCUCUGCAGGCCCUGCUCUUGCCUCCCAGGGGCUUUUUCCAGGCCCAGCUCUUGCCUCAUGGCAGCUGCCCCAGGCCAAAUUUCUGCCUGCCUGCCAGCAGCCUCAACAGGCACAGCUCCUCCCUCACAGUGGCCCAUUUAGGCCCAACUCAUGACUGUGAGGCCAUUUCCAGGCCUAGUGCCUGCCUCGUGGCUGACUCUUGAAGCCCAAAACUUCCUCAAAUCAGGCUUUUGCCCAACUUCUGUCUACUGUCGGACUCUACAGGUCAGCCUCUGCCUCACAGUGGACCCUCCAGACCCAGAUGGUGUCUCACUGUGGCAUCCUCAGGCGAAGCUCCUGCCUUUUGGCAGCCUCUCCAGGCCCAGCUCCUCCUGCCUCCCAGUGGCCUCUUUCGGCCCAGCCCAGCUCAUGCCUCCCGGCGGCCUUCCCAAGCCCCGCUUUUGAC
rnacentral:lncRNA from 1 species